CUGCGAAACUGCGAAUGGCUCAUUAAAUCAGUUAUCGUUUAUUUGAUAGUACCUACUACUUGGAUAACCGUGGUAAUUCUAGAGCUAAUACAUGCGAAAAACCUCGACUUCGGAAGGGGUGUAUUUAUUAGAUAAAAAACCAAUGCCCUUCUGGGCUUUAUGGUGAAUCAUGAUAACUUAACGAAUCGCAUAGCCUUGAGCUGGCGAUGGUUCAUUCAAAUUUCUGCCCUAUCAACUUUCGAUUGGUGAGUAGUGUUCACCAAUGGUAUCGACGGGUAACGAAGAAUUAGGGUUCGAUCUCGGAGAGGACGCCCGAGAAAUGGCGUGCACAUCCAAGGAAGGCAGCAGGCGCGCAAAUUACCCAAUCCCGAUUCGGGGAGGUAGUGACAAUAAAUACUGAUGCAGGGCUCUUUUGGGUCUUGCAAUUGGAAUGAGUACAAUUUAAAUCCCUUAACGAGGAACAAUUGGAGGGCAAGUCUGGUGCCAGCAGCCGCGGUAAUUCCAGCUCCAAUAGCGUAUAUUAAAGUUGUUGCAGUUAAAAAGCUCGUAGUUGAAAUUUGGGCCUGGCUGGCCGGUCCGCCUCACCGCGUGUACUGGACUGGCCGGGCCUUUCCUUCUGGGGAAGCUCAUGGUCUUUAUUGACUGUGUGGGGAACCAGGACUUUUACUUUGAAAAAAUUAGAGUGUUCAAAGCAGGCCUUUGCUCGAAUACAUUAGCAUGGAAUAAUGGAAUAGGACGGCUUUCCUAUUUUGUUGGUUUCUAGGAGAGCCGUAAUGAUUAAUAGGGACAGUCGGGGGCAUCAGUAUUCAAUUGUCAGAGGUGAAAUUCUUGGAAUUUAUUGAAGACUAACUACUGCGAAAGCAUUUGCCAAGGAUGUUUUCAUUAAUCAGUGAACGAAAGUUAGGGGAUCGAAGACGAUCAGAUACCGUCGUAGUCUUAACCAUAAACUAUGCCGACUAGGGAUCGGUCGAUGUUACUAUUUUGACUCGAUCGGCACCUUACGAGAAAUCAAA
rnacentral:rRNA from 1 species